AGAGUUUGAUCCUGGCUCAGAUUGAACGCUGGCGGCAUGCUUUACACAUGCAAGUCGGACGGCAGCACAGAGAAGCUUGCUUCUUGGGUGGCGAGUGGCGAACGGGUGAGUAAUAUAUCGGAACGUACCGAGUAAUGGGGGAUAACUAAUCGAAAGAUUAGCUAAUACCGCAUAUUCUCUGAGGAGGAAAGCAGGGGACCUUCGGGCCUUGCGUUAUUCGAGCGGCCGAUAUCUGAUUAGCUAGUUGGUGGGGUAAAGGCCUACCAAGGCGACGAUCAGUAGCGGGUCUGAGAGGAUGAUCCGCCACACUGGGACUGAGACACGGCCCAGACUCCUACGGGAGGCAGCAGUGGGGAAUUUUGGACAAUGGGCGCAAGCCUGAUCCAGCCAUGCCGCGUGUCUGAAGAAGGCCUUCGGGUUGUAAAGGACUUUUGUCAGGGAAGAAAAGGCUGUUGCUAAUAUCGACAGCUGAUGACGGUACCUGAAGAAUAAGCACCGGCUAACUACGUGCCAGCAGCCGCGGUAAUACGUAGGGUGCGAGCGUUAAUCGGAAUUACUGGGCGUAAAGCGAGCGCAGACGGUUACUUAAGCAGGAUGUGAAAUCCCCGGGCUCAACCUGGGAACUGCGUUCUGAACUGGGUGACUAGAGUGUGUCAGAGGGAGGUAGAAUUCCACGUGUAGCAGUGAAAUGCGUAGAGAUGUGGAGGAAUACCGAUGGCGAAGGCAGCCUCCUGGGAUAACACUGACGUUCAUGCUCGAAAGCGUGGGUAGCAAACAAGAUUAGAUACCCUGGUAGUCCACGCCC
rnacentral:rRNA from 1 species